rnacentral:lncRNA from 1 species
GAUAUGUCAGUAAAUACAUGAAUGUAGGCUAUUUUAAACUAUACUUAGUAUGAAAUAAAUGUAUUUUAAAUAUAUUACUUUCAUAUAUAUAUAUAUACUAUAGGGCUCCUUGCCCUAAUUUUGUUUUCAAAACUUAUUUAAAUCUCUGAGUACUUCUACUUUCUGAAUAUUGAAAAAAGUAAUUACAAUAAUUAUAAAUAAAAUAAUGGCAUGAUUCCAUGACUUUAAGGAGCUGAAUGUUCUUCAGGGCUCCCACACUUUUAACAUGUACUGACUUUUAUAUAUAUAUAAAAUCAAGAACCUGAUCCGAACAUGCAGUAUGCAUGAUUUUAAUUUGAUGGAAUCUUUUAAGUUUGGAUAGGAGUAAAAUAUUCUGUCACGAAAAAAAUAAAAUAAAUAAAUACCAACUAGGUCUCAUGGUCCUGUUUUAAAGGGAUGCUCCACCCCAAAAUGAAAAUGUUGUCAUUAAUCACUUACCCUCAUGUAGUUCCAAACCCGUAAAAGCUUUGUUCAUCUUCGCUUAUAAAAAGUUUUCUUGUCGCUUCAUAACGUUACGGUUAAAUCACUGAUGGUAGAUGUACUAUUCUGAUGAUGUCUUUCAUACAUUUCUGGACCGUGACAGUGUUACUUAUUUGGCAGUCUAUGGGACAGUCCCAAGCCUCCAGGUUUUCAUCCAAAAUAUCUUAAAUUGUGUUUCGAAGAUGAACAAAGCUUUUACGGGUUUGUAACGAUAUGGGGGUAAGGGAAUAAUGACAAAAUUUUCAUUUUGGGAUGGAGUAUCCCUUUAAUCAUAAUUUAGUUCUAGACUGUCACAUUGGAAAUGCAUCUGAUGCUUUUUCUCUUUAUUCUUUAGGUUUACUUUGAUUGUGGAGCCAAGGUGGAUGUUGUGGAUGUGCAGGGCCUCAUUCUGUCCCCUGGCUUCCCAUAUAACUAUUCAUCUGGAACUCACUGUGUGUGGCAGUUCUUUGUACCUGUUGGUCACCAGCUAAUCAUGGAGAUGUUUGAUUUUGAUGUCUUUGAGAGUCACGACAGUGCCGUUGUGGACGAGGUACUGAACGAUGGUGGCGCGCUGGUGUCGAAAAGCCUCGGAAGUCCAAAAGAACCCCAGUCCACACUCCGAGAGGACGUCAAGCAAGUGGUGAUCCAAGAACAGUCCACCAAAAUGGAGAUGACCAAAGUUUCCAAUUCUGCCAAAAUGCUCUCCGAUCCCCCCUCGGCUCCACAAGCAUCUCUUCCAGUUGAAAACAGAAAUUCUGUUUCAUCUCAGGCAUCAAGAGCAGCCAUUGACUUUAUCAUUUCAAGCCCACGAACGGCCACAGAAACGGGUGACGCUGUGAGCCCUGAGACCCAGGCACCUUUGAUCGAUGCCUGUCCCAACGAUGUUCUCUACAUAUCAGAUCUCAUCACCUUCUCCUCCCGAUUCUGCGGCUCUAGACGGCCUUCUAGCAGCCAGUUAGUGUUUGGAUCUGAUGAUGACAUGGUUGAGGUCAUUAUGGAGUUGAUUACCACUACCCACUGGGGCCGUGGUUUCGCUCUCCUUUUCCAUUAUCAGAAUCAAACUCAGACCGCCACAAGCGAACAUCAGAGAUCACUAUUGACCUCCGACAGCAGAACUGGUGUUGUACUGCUCGGUGCUGUAAGUGGGACAGUUGUAUUUGCUGUGGCCCUUGCUGGCAUCCUCUGUGUGAUUUUCAGGCCGAAACUGUGCGCAAAAGGAGCCAAUGCUUCCUCUUCCAUCAGCUCAGAGGUAAACAGUCAUCAUAUGAUCUUCUUACAGAUGGACCCCACCUUUAUGAGAGAUGAGGAGGAGUUUGUACUGUUUCCAGGGUCCCAAAUGUUUCCCCACACUUGGCAAUGUCGAGUGAAUUGAUUAAAUGUACCAUCCAUAAUUAAUGCAUAUUGGGCAUGAAACUGAAAUAAUUAAAAUGUAUUUUGUAUACAGAAUAUUGCAUAUGAAUUCUUUUAAGCGUUAUUGUUUAAAUUCUAAAAAUUAUUCCUUGCAUAUUUAAGUGUGUGUGUGUGUGUGUGUGUGUGUGUGUGUGUGUGUGUGUGUGUGUGUGUGUGUGUGUGUGUGUGUGUGUGUGUGUGUGUUGUUGUGUGCGCAUAUGGCUUUUUUUCUGGUGACUGAAGAGGCUGAAUGGCUAUUAAUAGCAUCUGUGGAUUC